AAUAAUAAAAGCUUUGUGUAACUUAUAAUACAUGUCUGAUUCAGAUUGUCUGUGUUGCGUUACCUAUUAAUGUAGUAUAUUUAUAUUGUCGAGGCUUUGGUUUGGCUAACAACGUAGCUAACGUUAGCCAUUUAGCCGUUAUCAUGGAUCGCCUAACGUUACAGCUUAUCCGUUUGCUCUGAAUUAUAUUAAUGAAUUAAUGAAACAAGGUCAUAAUGCCCAUGGGCAUGUUUAUUGAGUUCACCAGUCUAAUUUGCCAGCUAGUUUCAAGCUAGCCAGGUGAUUCGGCAGUUACCUAGUUUACUAGCCAACAUGCUGUCAGUUAGUUGCUUUGCUAGCUAUAUUAUUUUAACUGGCUAUAAAUGAGCGCGCUUUUUUACUUAAGAAAUAUAUAAUAAAAAGUUCGGGAACCACUGCUGUACAAAUAAUCUUGUGAAGUAAAAACAUAGACAAUUUACAUGCAUGCAAUUUGUCAUAUGAAUUGUAUAAGGAGAGAUUGUUUUCUCUAUAUUUUGUGAUGCUAAAUAAAAUGGCUGUUAUCUUCACAUUGGAUUACAUUUUGCUGCUAGUCUGCAUUGCUUUUGCAUAGUGAAAUCUGAAUAGUUAAUACAAUAGCAAUUGUUUUUUUGCUUAAGCUCUUUUUGUGUUUGUUUCAGAUCAAUGGACAGCUUUGUCAUUAACACUUUGACAGAGUGGCAGCUGACAGACCUUGUCGACAAAUUUAAAGAUUGCACAGGACAGUCUUGUCCUGCAAGGGGAUGCUGCAUCAAAAUUGUUUGAAACUUGGCUACCCAUUUAUGCUGAGAAGAUCCUGUGCCUGGCACCUGGAUGGAUAAACACCAGAUGGUGUUGGGGAUCUCGCCCUGAGGCAGCUGCGAACCUUGCUUCCACCUACAACUUACAAAGUUGGUUCGCCACACCAUUCAGGAAUGCAGCUUGGCCUUCAUCGACCGUAAGCCUCCUGGAAUAAACAUGGUGGAGUAGCUCAAUGAGGCCAAGGCAUGCAAACCAUACCCCCACAUCCUGACGCUGGGAAAUGAUCAGAGGGCAUUUCAGAAUUUGUUCAAGACAGUUGACUGUUGGCAUGUUGAAUGUUCAGCCAGUUCAUUCAUAAUUGUUGUUUUGCUAUGAAUGUUUUCCUAUCUAGUGAUAUUCACUGCACCAGUUACA